GUCUUCGGGGCAGGGUGAAAUUCCCGAUCGGCGGUAAAGUCCGCGAGCGCGUGGCGCAGGAUUUGACAGUGUUCAAAUCAGGAUUUGGUGAGAUUCCAAAACCGACAGUAUAGUCUGGAUGAGAGAAGAUG
rnacentral:ncRNA from 1 species